CGGCGGCGGCGGCGGCGGCGGCGGCGCUUGGGGGAGGGCGGCAGCAGGCCGUGAGGCUUGUCCUUGUCCCUGUCCCUUCACCAGCCUGAAGGCCCGAGGCCUCGCCUCUUUCCCGGCGUCGCUCCCUCCCGGGGCGUCCUGCCCGUGGCGGCGCUCCCGGGCCCAUGGCGCUGCCCUCGGUGCACAGGUGUCUCCAAUGUUCAAGUUCAAACAGAAUCCCACUUAUGGCAUAAGGGUGGACACAGCAAGGAUCUCAAUCUAGAGAGUGAAAGUGUCAGACUACUUCAGAUGUAUAAUAAUCUCCAGAAAUGUUACAUUAAAGAAAUCAAAACAAACAAGGAGCAAAGUGAAACAAUUAAAAAUCUCACUAUUAAAAUUCAUGAGCUAGAGCAUAAUCUUCGAGAGCAGAGACAAAGAAUUGAGCAAUUGGAAUGUAGAAAGGUUUCUAAGAAGGCUAGAGUUGUUUCUGAAAAAAGAAGUCAAACCUCAGAGGGAGAAGUAACAUCUUGCAGGCACAUACAUAAAAAGAAGGAAUCGUGUUGCAGUAAAUACUUAGAGCUAUUGUUGAAGGAGAUUAAGAAGCUGAAGAAAGAAAAUGAAAAGUUGUCUACAGAAAGGAGAGCACUAAGAAAUGAAUUAGCUGGAUUAGACAAGGAUUUUUUUGAAGAGAUAGAAGAUUUAAAGCAUGCUGUACAGGAAUCUGUGAAACUGAAUAAUCAGUAUGAGAAGUGUUUGAAACAAAUAUAUGCAAUUUAUGGACUUCCUUUAACAACACCUUUGUGA
rnacentral:lncRNA from 1 species